CGCGUAGGCGGCCUGGUAAGUCAGAUGUGAAAGCCCGGGGCUUAACCCCGGAAGUGCAUUUGAUACUGUCAGGCUUGAGUAUGGGAGAGGGAAGUGGAAUUCCUGGUGUAGAGGUGAAAUUCGUAGAUAUCAGGAGGAACACCGGUGGCGAAGGCGACUUCCUGGACCAAUACUGACGCUGAGGCGCGAAGGCGUGGGGAGCGAACAGGAUUAGAUACCCUGGUAGUCC
rnacentral:rRNA from 1 species